rnacentral:rRNA from 1 species
GACGAACCACACAAACGUUAUUCGGAAUUACUGGGCUUAAAGGGUGCGUAGGCGGCGCGGAAAGUUGGGUGUGAAAUCCCUCGGCUCAACCGAGGAACUGCGGUCAAUACUACCGUGCUCGAGUGAGACAGAGGUGAGCGGAACUUAGGGUGGAGCGGUGAAAUGCGUUGAUAUCCUAAGGAACACCCGUGGCGAAAGCGGCUCACUGGGUCUCUUCUGACGCUGAGGCACGAAAGCUAGGGUAGCGAACGGG